UACGGGGGGGGCAAGCGUUGUUCGGAAUUACUGGGCGUAAAGGGCUCGUAGGCGGCCAACUAAGUCAGACGUGAAAUCCCUCGGCUUAACCGGGGAACUGCGUCUGAUACUGGAUGGCUAGAGUGUGGGAGAGGGAUGCGGAAUUCCAGGUGUAGCGGUGAAAUGCGUAGAUAUCAGGAGGAACACCAAUUGCGAAGGCAGCUCGCUGGGACGUUACUGACGCUGAGACGCGAAAGCGUGGGGAGCAAACAGG
rnacentral:rRNA from 1 species